CCACCUCGCUCUUCGCACCAUGCCACCACCUCAAAUGGCUGUGCUGAGCUGCAGGCUCCAUACCCGACGAACUCUCACCACCCCAUCGCUACUCCGGCGUUCCUUCUCUAGCUCCUGUCGCAACUUGUCAUCCGCAGGAGCUAACACCUCAUCCCGCCCACCUACAGCACCAAAGCCUACACCUGACAUCAAGAACAUCCGCGAAAAUGCCUCUCUCUACUCCGAAAACUGCAUUGCCCGCAAUUACCAUGACCUGUCCCGAUACCCGUACGAGAUCCAACGCCUCUCCACCGAGUCCCGCGAGCUUCAAGACGCCCUGCGGGAACCGCAGCGCAAGAUAAAACAGAUAGAGUCCGCCAUUGCACAGCUCAUGGCCAAUUCCUCAGACCCACACAAUGCAGAUCAAACAGAACAACAGAAUCAAGAAACAAAAACGAAUGAAGAACUUUCCGCCCUCCGACUUUCCGCACAACAUCUAAAGGACAAAUCCCACCACCUAACAACAACCCGCGCAUCCCACACCAAAGAAAUCGAACGUCUCGCCCUCUCCCUCCCAAACCUUACCAGCACCGAAACACCACCAGGCGCCGAACCUCGCAUCGUAAACUACAUAAACUACGACCCGGACAAACCCGCAAACUUACCCACCCACACCACCUCCCAUGUCACAAUCGGCACAACCCUCAAUCUCCUAAACUUCACCAGCGCCUCCCUUGCCAGUGGCUGGGGCUGGUACUAUUUAACCAACGAAGCUGCCCUGCUCGAACAAGCCCUAAUCCAGUACGCGCUCAGCGUCGCCAUUCGGCGGGGUUGGCAAGCGGUCUCCCCACCCUCCCUCGUCUACUCGCACAUCACCCAUGCAUGUGGCUUCCAACCACGCGAUGCGCAUAACGAACAACAAAUAUAUCAUAUUGAGCAGAGUGAGAGAGAUG
rnacentral:sRNA from 1 species